rnacentral:rRNA from 1 species
UGCAGUCGACGGCAGCACGGGUGCUUGCACCUGGUGGCGAGUGGCGAACGGGUGAGUAAUACAUCGGAACAUGUCCUGUAGUGGGGGAUAGCCCGGCGAAAGCCGGAUUAAUACCGCAUACGAUCCAUGGAUGAAAGCGGGGGACCUUCGGGCCUCGCGCUAUAGGGUUGGCCGAUGGCUGAUUAGCUAGUUGGUGGGGUAAAGGCCUACCAAGGCGACGAUCAGUAGCUGGUCUGAGAGGACGACCAGCCACACUGGGACUGAGACACGGCCCAGACUCCUAC